rnacentral:lncRNA from 1 species
GGGGGUUGUAAAUUGGCAUGGAAAUUUAAAGCAGGUUCUUGUUGGUGCACAGCACAAAUUAGUUAUAUAUGGGGAUGGUAGUUUUUUCAUCUUCAGUUGUCUCUGAUGCAGCUUAUACGAAAUAAUUGUUGUUCUGUUAACUGAAUACCACUCUGUAAUUGCAAAAAAAAAAAAAAAAGUUGCAGCUGUUUUGUUGACAUUCUGAAUGCUUCUAAGUAAAUACAAUUUUUUUAUUAGUAUUGUUGUCCUUUUCAUAGGUCUGAAAUUUUUCUUCUUGAGGGGAAGCUAGUCUUUUGCUUUUGCCCAUUUUGAAUCACAUGAAUUAUUACAGUGUUUAUCCUUUCAUAUAGUUAGCUAAUAAAAAGCUUUUGUCUACCCACCCUGCAUAUCAUAAUGAGGGUAAAGUUAAGUUGAGAUAGUUUUCAUCCAUAACUGAACAUCCAAAAUCUUGAUCAGUUAAGAAAUUUCACAUAGCCCACUUACAUUUACAAACUGAAGAGUAAUCAAUCUACUCAAAGCAUGGGAUUACUAGAAUCAAACAUUUUGAAAGUCUGUCCUUGAAGGACUAAUAGAAAAGUAUGUUCUAACCUUUACAUGAGGACUCUAUUCUUUAACUCCCAUUACCAUGUAAUGGCAGUUAUAUUUUGCAGUUCCCACAUUAAAGAAGACCUGAGAAUGUAUCCCCAAAAGCGUGAGCUUAAAAUACAAGACUGCCAUAUUAAAUUUUUUGUUGACAUUAGUCUCAGUGAAGACUAUGAAAAUGCUGGCUAUAGAUGUCUUUUCCCAUUUAUCUAAAUAUGGACUGCUCAGGAAACGAGACUUUCCAUUACAAGUAUUUUUAAUUAAUUGGGCCAGCUUUUCAAACAAAGAUGCCACAUUCAAAAUAGGGUAUAUUUUCCUAUAUUACGGUUUGCCCCUUUAUAAAUCCAAGUAGAUAGGAG